AUACGCGUGAGUGAUGAAGGUUCCGGAUCGUAAAACUCUGUUGUUAGGGAAGAACAAGUGCCAUAGUAACUGAAUGGCACCUUGAACGGUACCUAACCAGAAAGCCACGGCUAACUACGUGCCAGCAGCCGCGGUAAUACGUAGGUGGCAAGCGUUGUCCGGAAUCAUUGGGCGUAAAGCGCUCGCAGGCGGUUCUUUAAGUCUGAUGUGACACUCUUACGGCUCACCCGUACACGUGCAUUGGAAACUGCGGAACUUGAGUGCACAAGACGAGAGUGGACUUCCACGUGUACCGGUGAUAUGCGUACAGAUGUGGAGGAACACCAGUGGCGAACGCGACUCCUUCUGGUCUGUAACUGACGCUGAGGAGCGACAGCGUGGGUAUCGAACAGGAUUACAUACCCUGGAUAGUCCACGCCCGCCACCGAUCAGUGCUAGGUGUCAGGGGG
rnacentral:rRNA from 1 species